GCCACCAUAGCUCAGUGGUUAUAGCACUGGUCUUGUAAACCAGAGACGUGAGUUUCAAUCCCUCACUGGUGGCU